UACAGAGGGGGAAAGCGUUGUUCGGAAUUACUGGGCGUAAAGGGCUCGUAGGCGGCCAACUAAGUCAGACGUGAAAUCCCUCGGCUUAACCGGGGAACUGCGUCUGAUACUGGAUGGCUUGAGUUUGGGAGAGGGAUGCGGAAUUCCAGGUGUAGCGGUGAAAUGCGUAGAUAUCUGGAGGAACACCGGUGGCGAAGGCGGCAUCCUGGACCAACACUGACGCUGAGUGAGCGAAAGCCAGGGGAGCAAACGGG
rnacentral:rRNA from 1 species